CUACGUGCCAGCAGCCGCGGUAAUACGUAGGUGGCAAGCGUUGUCCGGAAUUAUUGGGCGUAAAGCGCGCGCAGGCGGAUUGGUCAGUCUGUCUUAAAAGUUCGGGGCUUAACCCCGUGAUGGGAUGGAAACUGCCAAUCUAGAGUAUCGGAGAGGAAAGUGGAAUUCCUAGUGUAGCGGUGAAAUGCGUAGAUAUUAGGAAGAACACCAGUGGCGAAGGCGACUUUCUGGACGAAAACUGACGCUGAGGCGCGAAAGCCAGGGGAGCGAACGGGAUUAGAUACCCCGGUAGUCCUGGCCGUAAACGAUGGGUACUAGGUGUAGGAGGUAUCGACCCCUUCUGUGCCGGAGUUAACGCAAUAAGUACCCCGCCUGGGGAGUACGACCGCAAGGUUGAAACUCAAAGGAAUUGACGGGGGCCCGCACAAGCGGUGGAGUAUGUGGAUUAAUUCGAUGCAACGCGAAGAACCUUACCAAGGCUUGACAU
rnacentral:rRNA from 1 species